AUCUGGUUGAUCCUGCCAAGUAUUAUAUGCUCGUCUCAAAGAUUAAGCCAUGCAUGUGUAAGUAUAAAUAAUUUUACUUUGAAACUGCGAAUGGCUCAUUAUAUCAGUUAUAGUUUAUUAGAAAUACUUUACUACUUGGAUAACCGUAGUAAUUCUAGGGCUAAUACAUGAAUAAAUCCUCAACUUCGGAAGAGGUGUGUUUAUUAGUAUGAAAACCAUAUAUCUUCGGAUAUAAUAGUGAGUAAUAAUAACCUUUCGUAUCGUAUGUCGUAAGAUAACGAUAGUUCUUUCAAGUUUCUGCCCUAUCAGCUUUCGAUGGUAGUAUAUGGGACUACCAUGGCAGUAACGGGUAACGAAGAAUUUGGGUUCGAUUUCGGAGAGGGAGCCUGAGAGAUGGCUACCACAUCCAAGGAAGGCAGCAGGCGCGUAAAUUACCCAAUCCUGACAUAGGGAGGUAGUGACAAUAAAUCACAAUGCGGAACUAUUUAGUUUUGCAAUUGGAUUGAGAACAAUGUACAAAUGUUAUCGAUAAACAAUUGGAGGGCAAGUCUGGUGCCAGCAGCCGCGGUAAUUCCAGCUCCAAUAGCGUAUAUUAACGUUGUUGCAGUUAAAAAGCUC
rnacentral:rRNA from 1 species